rnacentral:rRNA from 1 species
AUUGAACGCUGGCGGCAUGCCUUACACAUGCAAGUCGAACGGUAACAGGUCUUCGGAUGCUGACGAGUGGCGAACGGGUGAGUAAUACAUCGGAACGUGCCCGAGAGUGGGGGAUAACGGAGCGAAAGCUUUGCUAAUACCGCAUACGAUCUACGGAUGAAAGCAGGGGACCGCAAGGCCUUGCGCUCAUGGAGCGGCCGAUGGCAGAUUAGGUAGUUGGUGGGAUAAAAGCUUACCAAGCCGACGAUCUGUAGCUGGUCUGAGAGGACGACCAGCCACACUGGGACUGAGACACGGCCCAGACUCCUACGGGAGGCAGCAGUGGGGAAUUUUGGACAAUGGGCGCAAGCCUGAUCCAGCCAUGCCGCGUGCAGGAUGAAGGCCUUCGGGUUGUAAACUGCUUUUGUACGGAACGAAAAGACUCUGGUUAAUACCUGGGGUCCAUGACGGUACCGUAAGAAUAAGCACCGGCUAACUACGUGCCAGCAGCCGCGGUAAUACGUAGGGUGCAAGCGUUAAUCGGAAUUACUGGGCGUAAAGCGUGCGCAGGCGGUUAUAUAAGACAGAUGUGAAAUCCCCGGGCUCAACCUGGGAACUGCAUUUGUGACUGUAUAGCUAGAGUACGGCAGAGGGGGAUGGAAUUCCGCGUGUA